GAUCAUCUUUCUCAAUUCUCAUUGUACCCCCGGCGCAUCAACACCUCGGCGCCGCGUAGUACGGCGUCCCGACCACCGCUGACAUCCGGCCGCCGUCGCACCCUUCGAACCACUCCGCCGACCGGAAGUUGGCGAGUUUGAGGUUCUCCUGCGCGUCGAACAGCACGUUGUCGGGCUUCAUGUCCCGGUGCGCGACGCCGGUACGGUGGCAGCAGCUGAUCGCGGACAUUAGCUGCCGGAAAACGGCGGUGGCUGCGGGCUCCGACAGCAGCCCCCGCGACACCCUCUCAUAGAGGUCGUCGCCUUCGCAGAGCUCGGUGCCUUGAACAUCGAAGAUCAAUUUGACUGUUUUGAUAUUUAUUGGGCAUUAGGGUUUGUCAAGCUAUUUUGCUCAGGUGUUGGAAUUUUAGGUUUGGGUUUAGGGUGUUGAAGAAGUUUGGAGAAUUUAGUGUAUGGAUAAGGAUAAAUCUUGGCCAUGGAGGAGGGAGUUUGUUGCCUCCGCCGCACAAAGCUCACCUGCAACCUCUCUGCCGCCCCAUGGGUACUGAUCUACUUCGCUUUUGCCUAUCCUGCUUCAUUUCUUCAAUUUCGCUCUCCCUAAUCAUCAGACUCUGGAUUACCCUAGCUUCAAGCUCGUUAUAGUCGGUGAUGGAGGAACUGGAAAAACUACUUUUGUGAAGAGGCAUCUCACUGGUGAAUUUGAGAAGAGGCAUUUGUGUCUAGUGUCUCUGUAUAGUAUCUUUGUUACAUGAUUUGUAUGUAUAGAUGGAUUAGAUGCUGGAUGUUCUUGAUUGGAAUUUGGUUUCUUUUUGUUUGUUUAUUUAUUUGUUUAAAA